UACGUAGGGUGCGAGCGUUAAUCGGAAUUACCGGGCGUAAAGCGUGCGCAGGCGGUGCGCCAAGCUCGAUGUGAAAGCCCCGGGCUUAACCUGGGAAUUGCAUUGAGGACUGGCGUGCUCGAGUGCGGCAGAGGGGGGUGGAAUUCCACGUGUAGCAGUGAAAUGCGUAGAGAUGUGGAGGAACACCGAUGGCGAAGGCAGCCCCCUGGGCCGACACUGACGCUCAUGCACGAAAGCGUGGGGAGCAAACAGG
rnacentral:rRNA from 1 species